rfam:Ixodes scapularis strain Wikel colony gcontig_1108379498984, whole genome shotgun sequence.
CCCUGGUUAGCUCAAUUGGUAGAGCGCUCCACCUGUAAUGGAGAGGUCCCGGGUUCGAUACCCGGACCAGGCG